UCCCCCCCACUUUUCUCAGAUUUCCCAGGACUUUUUAAGGGUUCUGAUCCAUGUUAGGGUGAGGAAGCCAAUAGAUGGCACUGUGCUGUUUCUGGAGGAGCCCAGCCUUUUUCUGGAGGGUUUCUGGGAUGCCCGAAUGUGGGAAAGCCCUGCACUCCAGGGAAGUUUCUCCCCAUGCAGAACCACGAGCAAAGUCUCACCGUGGAGAAGGCUCCAUGCCCAAAGCACCGUGCAAAGCAGGGAUAUUUGUGCACAGCCCUGGGAUGUUAUCUGCUCACAGGAAAAGGGAGGCAAAACCCCCCAGCAAACGAGGUCAGUGUUAGGAAAGCUCAGAUUCUCAUCAGGGAAUGUUUUUGUCCCUGCAGCUUCUGUGGCAGCCUCAGGGCUGUGCCAGUGCCCAGCUGAGGAAUCAGCUGUGGGGAGAUGAUGGUUUUGGCAGGAGGGACAGGGCUGCCCAAGAGUGUGGCUCGGUCAGCUGGUGGCCCUGGUCUGGAGCAUGAAUUUAGCCCUGGGGACUCUGGAGUUCAGCACCAGCAGGACAGAGCCCCUCUCCAGCUCCAAUCCAGCAGAGGUGUGCUGUGUUUGCUGCCAGGUCCUGAGCAUCCCCCAGAGCCACUGUGCCCCUCUGAGGACCUGCUUGGCACCUGACCCUGCUGCCAUUCAGUGCCACCUUUCAAAUCACUCCAGUCAAAUCAGGGGCUCACCUGGGAGGAGCUGCUGGUGGUGGAUGGAGGUGAAGAGCCAAGACAUUCCCAUUACAGGGACAGAGGCAGCUGAGCCCUGUACUGUGCACUGUGGGAUGGGCACAGGGAGGCCGAGCCCUUUGACCAGGGAUGUCCGCCUGGGAAACACACGAUUCAGCGUUGACAGGGGUUGUUCUGAAUGUAACAGGAUCCCACGGCAGAUGUAAACCAGACUCCAGGCAUUUGCUGCGUGUUUCGCGAGGAGGAUCAGAGGAGGAGAAAGCAAGCAAAUCACUGCCCAAGUGUGUCACCCUCAUUGAGGUGUCAUGAAGGGCCUGGAAUCAUGGAAUGGUUGAGGAUCCAGGUGUGACAGCUGAGGCUCCAG